rnacentral:pre_miRNA from 1 species
AGUUGAAUUGUUGGGUUAUAUUUUAAAUCUUUGUUUAGCAUUUUCAAGAACUGUGAGACUGUUUUCAAAGUGACUAUACCAUUUACAUUCCUAUCAACAGU